CGCGCGCUUACGUCACGGGAGGAAUGCAGUGACGCGCGCGGCUCGUCUGUGACGUCAGCGGCGGAGCUGGGCUAGGGAUUCAGUGACGUCACUGGGCGCUCUUCCCCUCCCCCCUAUUGCCCUACGUUGAAAAAGAAAAAGAAAACUUGCCGUUUUGCAAAAGCCAAGGAAAUCAUUGAUCUGGGCAAUGAUCGUUGAUGGGCAUCAUAAAGCAGCAGUGUUAGCUCCAGAACAAAUGGAUGAAAAAUGUCGCCCGUCUCUGGGAGUGAAAUUAACUCUGGGACAUCCACACAGCAGAAUACUACCCAGCUGUAGAACAACAAGAGCGAGCCAGGGAGGAGCAGAGAGAGAGAGGGAGACACCGAAUCCGAAGCAG